rnacentral:rRNA from 1 species
GACGAACGCUGGCAGCGCGCCUAACACAUGCAAGUCGAACGAGCGAGAGAGAGCUUGCUUUCUCGAGCGAGUGGCGAACGGGUGAGUAACGCGUGAGGAACCUGCCUCAAAGAGGGGGACAACAGUUGGAAACGACUGCUAAUACCGCAUAAGCCCACGGCUCGGCAUCGAGCAGAGGGAAAAGGAGCAAUCCGCUUUGAGAUGGCCUCGCGUCCGAUUAGCUAGUUGGUGAGGUAAUGGCCCACCAAGGCAACGAUCGGUAGCCGGACUGAGAGGUUGAACGGCCACAUUGGGACUGAGACACGGCCCAGACUCCUACGGGAGGCAGCAGUGGGGAAUAUUGCACAAUGGGGGAAACCCUGAUGCAGCGACGCCGCGUGGAGGAAGAAGGUCUUCGGAUUGUAAACUCCUGUUGUUGGGGAAGAUAAUGACGGUACCCAACA